UUUUGUUUUUGUUUUUGCGAGACAGGAUUUCUCUGUGCAACAGUCCUGGCUAUCCUGGAACUUGCUUUGUAGACCAGGCUGGCUUUGAACUCACUGAGAUUCACCUGCCUCUGCCUCCCAAGUGCUGGAAUUAAAGGCGUGUGCCACCACCGCCCAGCUAUGUGUAAGAAACCCAAGUUUCCCAGAGAAAAAAAGGAGCUGUCCAGGGCAGCGUGCAUGAGAGGUCAGUUCUGUCCAACGCUAAGCACAACUUCCUAUUUUAUGAUCCCACCAAGGAGAAACAACAGGAUGUUGGCAUUUGGCGCCUUGCUUGAAUAGGUAAAAUGUCUGUGACCCAAGGAGAAUUGACACUGUGGGUGACUGGGGUCCCCUCCCAACAGUUACUGUCUCUUUUCCCACUAGCAGACCAAGAUCUGUGGAAUGAGGAUCAAAGCACAUCAUGGAGUCCUAUUUCCAUUUUGUAGAAGGUUUCAUCUGGAGUCCAUGGAAGGGGGUGUAGGAGUCCACAUCUGACUAGCUGCCGGGUUGCAAGGCUUCUUUCCACAGAACACAUUGUCACGGGCACCAUUCUGUACCAGAGGUGGACAAGCCUUCUCUGUGAAGGACUAGGUGCUUUACAAUUAGAUUUCUGAGGUCCUUUGGUCUGUGUUUCAACUGCUGAAAUCUGAGCUUGGGUCACACCCCAGGAGAAAGGUGUGCCAACAGCAAGCAGUACAACAUUCCCAAGCUGGACCCAGUGCUCUCUGAACUGCAUGAUGAAAUCACAAGCUGUCAACCAUUGGCUGGUCACAGACUCAGAAAGCCAGAGGCUAUGGAUUUGUUCCAGAUUAAGAUACAUCAGGUUUGACCAGCCAAGACCCCCUGAAAGGUCUCGGAUGACACCAUGGCCCAGAUGAUCCAACAUCCAAAAUGGUUUGAAGGCAACUGGCUCAGACGAUACAGCCUCACGGACUACUCCAUGAUCCUAAAAUUUUCUUUGUGUCCCCAUAAGAUACAGCGCCCCCCUCCAGUAGGAAGUAGUAAGAGAAGCUAUGCCCAAAUUCCCAAAUUAUAUGUAAUUUUACUUUGUUAAGGUUAAAACCUUCCUUUUUGAAAAGAGGGAAGUGCUGUGGGAUGGUCUAUAUGUCAAAUGUGUUGCUGAUUAGUCAAUAAAUAAAACACUGAUUGGCCAUUGACUAGGCAGGAAGUGUAGGCGGGACAAGGAGGAGAAUAAAGCUGGGAAGUGGAAGGCUGAGUCAGAGAGACACUGCCAGCCGCCACGAUGACAAAUAGCAUAUGAAGAUGCCGGU